rnacentral:misc_RNA from 1 species
GGAGGGAUCAUUAACACGUAUCCAAACGUUCCAACAAACAAAACAAACCCCCCACCGGUUCUCCUGUUCCCCUCUUUAUGGUUCCUCCCAGCCAAAGGUGAAGGCUUAUCUUGAGCAGCGUCUGGUUACCCAACCGGUUGUAAGGGAUAGGUUGCUUCGGGACGGAUAGUCAUUGCUCAAACUACUAGGGCUGCCACAUAAGAGGAGUAUCAAAGUUCACCUGGUUACUUGUGCCACCUCAGCAUGUUCACACUUCGCUUCGGUCUUAAUGAUGUCGAGUUGUGUGGGCUAACCUGAAGCCUUGUUUCCUUAGUAAACCCCAAUUAAACCCCUUUUUUAUAUAACUACUGAACUUAUACCAAUUAAUUGAAGUUGUAAGCUUUUGUAAUGGAGCAAGCAAUUUUGAUGGUAUAUUUACGAAACUACGCACAACUCUUAGCAACGGAUAUCUUGGUUCUCGUACCGAUGAAGAACGCAGCGAAAUGCGAUACGUAAUGCGAAUUUCAGAAUUCAGUGAAUCAUCAAAUCUUUGAACGCAAAUUGCGCUCUCGGGAUAGCCCUGGGAGCAUGCCUCUCUGAGUAUCGGUUCCACCUCAUCUUGGCAGCGUCAUAUAUAUGUUUUUACGAAUAUAUAUGUGAUGUGUUGGCCAGAAAAUGAGUUCGUCUGCAUCUGAAUCUUUCAGCAGACUUACUUGAAAGUGAAGGUAGCUUCGGCUGCUGAGGUAGGAAUCCCAGUAAUGGGAGGCACUAUCGACCGAUCGUCACUUGUGAUAGAUUUGAGUAAGAGCAUAUCUGUUGGGACCCGAAAGAUGGUGAUCUAUGCCUGAACAGGGUGAAGCCAGGGGAAACUCUGGUGGAGGCUCGUAGCGAUACUGACGUGCAAAUCGUUCGUCUGAUUUGGGUAUAGGGGCGAAAGACUAAUCGAACCAUCUAGUAGCUGGUUCCCUC